UCUAAAAUGGCAGAUUAGUGCUUUGGAUUUAAACCCCAAAUAUAAAAAUUUAUUUUUUUUUAGAA
rnacentral:tRNA from 1 species